UACAGAGGGGGCAAGCGUUGUUCGGAAUUACUGGGCGUAAAGGGCUCGUAGGCGGUUUGUCGCGUCGGGAGUGAAAACACCGGGCUUAACUCGGUGCUUGCUUUCGAUACGGGCAGACUAGAGGUAUGCAGGGGAGAACGGAAUUCCUGGUGUAGCGGUGAAAUGCGCAGAUAUCAGGAGGAACACCGGUGGCGAAGGCGGUUCUCUGGGCAUUACCUGACGCUGAGGAGCGAAAGUGUGGGGAGCGAACAGG
rnacentral:rRNA from 1 species